rnacentral:rRNA from 1 species
CAUCUGAAAGAGAUUAAAGAUUUAUCGGUGAUGGAUGGGGAUGCGUCUGAUUAGCUUGUUGGCGGGGUAACGGCCCACCAAGGCGACGAUCAGUAGGGGUUCUGAGAGGAAGGUCCCCCACAUUGGAACUGAGACACGGUCCAAACUCCUACGGGAGGCAGCAGUGAGGAAUAUUGGUCAAUGGACGAGAGUCUGAACCAGCCAAGUAGCGUGCAGGAUGACGGCCCUAUGGGUUGUAAACUGCUUUUAUAAGGGAAUAAAGUGAGUCUCGUGAGACUUUUUGCAUGUACCUUAUGAAUAAGGACCGGCUAAUUCCGUGCCAGCAGCCGCGGUAAUACGGAAGGUCCGGGCGUUAUCCGGAUUUAUUGGGUUUAAAGGGAGCGUAGGCCGGAGAUUAAGCGUGUUGUGAAAUGUAGACGCUCAACGUCUGCACUGCAGCGCGAACUGGUUUCCUUGAGUACGCACAAAGUGGGCGGAAUUCGUGGUGUAGCGGUGAAAUGCUUAGAUAUCACGAAGAACUCCGAUUGCGAAGGCAGCUCACUGGAGCGCAACUGACGCUGAAGCUCGAAAGUGCGGGUAUCGAACAGGAUUAGAUACCCUGGUAGUCCGCACGGUAAACGAUGGAUGCCCGCUGUUGGUCUGAAUAGGUCAGCGGCCAAGCGAAAGCAUUAAGCAUCCCACCUGGGGAGUACGCCGGCAACGGUGAAACUCAAAGGAAUUGACGGGGGCCCGCACAAGCGGAGGAACAUGUGGUUUAAUUCGAUGAUACGCGAGGAACCUUACCCGGGCUUGAAUUGCAGAGGAAGGAUUUGGAGACAAUGACGCCCUUCGGGGCCUCUGUGAAGGUGCUGCAUGGUUGUCGUCAGCUCGUGCCGUGAGGUGUCGGCUUAAGUGCCAUAACGAGCGCAACCCCUCUCCUUAGUUGCCAUCAGGUUAAGCUGGGCACUCUGGGGACACUGCCACCGUAAGGUGUGAGGAAGGUGGGGAUGACGUCAAAUCAGCACGGCCCUUACGUCCGGGGCUACACACGUGUUACAAUGGCAGGUACAGAGAGACGGUNNNNNNNNNNUCCGGGGCUACACACGUGUUACAAUGGCAGGUACAGAGAGACGGUCCCUUGCAAAAUGGAUCAAAUCCUUAAAGCCUGUCUCAGUUCGGACUGGGGUCUGCAACCCGACCCCACGAAGCUGGAUUCGCUAGUAAUCGCGCAUCAGCCAUGGCGCGGUGAAUACGUUCCCGGGCCUUGUACACACCGCCCGUCAAGCCAUGAAAGCCGGGGGCGCCUAAAGUCCGUGACCGUAAGGAGCGGCCUAGGGCGAAACUGGUAAUUGGGGCUAAGUCGUAACAAGGUAGCCGUACCGGAAGGUGCGGCUGGAACACCUCCUUUCU